rnacentral:rRNA from 1 species
UAGAGUUUGAUCCUGGCUCAGGAUGAACGCUGGCGGUGUGCCUUAGACAUGCAAGUCGAACGAAGCACCUUUUUUUGAACCCUUCGGGGUGAUUAAGUUGGUGACUUAGUGGCGAACGGGUGAGUAACACGUGGGUGACCUGCCCCGAAGUGCGGCAUAACAGGGGGAAACUCCUGCUAAUUCCGCAUGUGCUCCCACCUCUUGUGGUGUGAGUAAAGAUUUAUCGCUUCGGGAUGGGCCCGCGGUCCAUCAGCUAGUUGGUAGGGUAAUGGCCUACCAAGGCGACGACGGAUAGCCGGCCUGAGAGGGCGAUCGGCCACAGGGGCACUGAGAUACGGGCCCCACUCCUACGGGAGGCAGCAGUUAGGAAUCUUCCACAAUGGGCGAAAGCCUGAUGGAGCGACACCGCGUGAAGGAUGAAGGCCUUAGGGUCGUAAACUUCUAAAAGAGGGACGAUAAUGACGGUACCUCUUGAGAAGCACCGGCUAACUCCCGUGCCAGCAGCCGCGGUAAAUACGGA